AUUGAACGCUGGCGGCAUGCCUUACACAUGCAAGUCGAACGGCAGCACGGGUGCUUGCACCUGGUGGCGAGUGGCGAACGGGUGAGUAAUACAUCGGAACAUGUCCUGUAGUGGGGGAUAGCCCGGCGAAAGCCGGAUUAAUACCGCAUACGAUCUACGGAUGAAAGCGGGGGACCUUCGGGCCUCGCGCUAUAGGGUUGGCCGAUGGCUGAUUAGCUAGUUGGUGGGGUAAAGGCCUACCAAGGCGACGAUCAGUAGCUGGUCUGAGAGGACGACCAGCCACACUGGGACUGAGACACGGCCCAGACUCCUACGGGAGGCAGCAGUGGGGAAUUUUGGACAAUGGGCGAAAGCCUGAUCCAGCAAUGCCGCGUGUGUGAAGAAGGCCUUCGGGUUGUAAAGCACUUUUGUCCGGAAAGAAAUCCUUGGUUCUAAUAUAGCCGGGGGAUGACGGUACCGGAAGAAUAAGCACCGGCUAACUAC
rnacentral:rRNA from 1 species